GGAGUUGCUAUAAGUAUAAACCCUCAUGUUUAAAGGCGAAAUCCAGUAAAAAAUAUGAAAGAAAAAUACAAAUAUCUAAAUAUCUAGGAUGAGAGAGAGAGAGAGAGAGAGAGAGAGAGAGAGAGAGAGAGAGAGAGAGAGAGAGGAGGGAGGAGAGGGCGUUGGUUUGCUUGCGAGUUGACAAAACUUUGGAAAUUAUUAAGGUUAAACUCCCAAUCUGAAAGCAAAGUCUCAAGAAAAAAGUGACGCUGAGAAGCUUCACCAAAUAUGGAAACCUCUUUUACUUCUAAAAAAAACACUCCUUU
rnacentral:lncRNA from 1 species